GAUGAACGCUGGCGGCGUGCCUAAUACAUGCAAGUCGAGCGAACAGAUGAGGAGCUUGCUCCUCUGACGUUAGCGGCGGACGGGUGAGUAACACGUGGAUAACCUACCUAUAAGACUGGGAUAACUUCGGGAAACUGGAGCUAAUACCGGAUAAUAUAUUGAACCGCAUGGUUCAAUAGUUAAAGACGGUUUUGCUGUCACUUAUAGAUGGAUCCGCGCCGCAUUAGCUAGUUGGUAAGGUAACGGCUUACCAAGGCAACGAUGCGUAGCCGACCUGAGAGGGCGAUCGGCCACACUGGAACUGAGACACGGUCCAGACUCCUACGGGAGGCAGCAGUAGGGAAUCUUCCGCAAUGGGCGAAAGCCUGACGCAGCAACGCCGCGUGAGUGAUGAAGGUCUUCGGAUCGUAAAACUCUGUUAUUAGGAAAGAACAAAUGUGUAAGUAACUAUGCACGUCUUGACGGUACCUAAUCAGAAAGCCACGGCUAACUACGUG
rnacentral:rRNA from 1 species